AUUGAACGCUGGCGGCAGGCCUAACACAUGCAAGUCGAACGAGUGGCGGACGGGUGAGUACUGUCUGGGAAACUGCCCGAUGGAGGGGGAUAACUACUGGAAACGGUAGCUAAUACCGCAUACCAUCGGAUGUGCCCAGAUGGGAUGAGCUUGUAGGUGAGGUAACGGCUCACCUAGGCGACGAUCACUCGCUGGUCUGCGAGGAUGACCAGACAAACUGAAACGGCGACAGGGUGCAGGCUCCGACGGGAGGCAGCAGUGGGGAAUAUUGCAGAAUGGGCGAAGGCCGAAGGCAGACAUGCCGCGAGUAUGAAGAAGGAAUUCGGGUUGUAAAGUAAGUUCAGCGGGGAGGCGGUACCCGCAGAAGAAGUACCGGCUAAAGCCGUGCCAGCAGCCGCGGUAAUUC
rnacentral:rRNA from 1 species